AUACUUACCUGGAUGGGGUCUACGGCUGAUCAUGAAGGGUCGUGGCCUAGAUCAAUGGCUCACAUUGCACUUGGUGUAGCGUGUUGGUCUACCAUCUCCCUACGGGGAGAGUGGACAUCAUAAUUUGUGGUAGAGGGGGUACGCGUUCGCGCGGCCCCUGC